rnacentral:tRNA from 1 species
GGCAUGUAGCUCAGUUGAUAGAGUGCUUGCCUCACAUGCAUAAGGCCCUGGAUUCAAUCCCCAGCACCA